rnacentral:rRNA from 1 species
UACGUAGGGGGCAAGCGUUGUCCGGAUUUAUUGGGCGUAAAGAGCGUGUAGGCGGCUAGGUAGGUCCGUUGUGAAAACUCGAGGCUCAACCUCGAGACGCCGAUGGAAACCAUCUAGCUAGAGUCCGGAAGAGGAGAGUGGAAUUCCUGGUGUAGCGGUGAAAUACGCAGAUAUCAGGAAGAACACCGAUGGCGAAGGCAAUCCCCUGGGCCUGCACUGACGCUCAUGCACGAAAGCGUGGGGAGCAAACAGG